GAAGGCAGACGCCUAAUGACUGAGCCACCCAGGUGCCCUUAAAAUCUUUUUAAAAAAAGAAUCUGUGGAUACGCUACAGAAUGAUCAAGCAAAAUGAGGUUGUCUGUGCUAAGGGGUAUUUGUACUAAUCACUGUGUUGUGUUUCUGGUGUAAGAACAUAAAUCCAAAGUCACCUUCUGAUAGAAAGCCAUGGACAGUGUGGAAAUUAAAGGCACAAUUUAAGAGCAGUGAUUGUGUUUGAUGGAUGAUGAGCCUAAGAAAAUAGAAGCCAGCGUCCCUUGCACACACGGCCACUGGCCCUAUGCUAAAUGCUAUGCUUGCACUGCAUCAUUUCAGCCUCAGGAAAAAACCUCUGGGUAAAGUACCAUCCUUAUUCCUGUUUCCAGAUGGGAAGAAAAAAAAAAAAAAGACCUGGUGCUAACAGAAGUCACCAACAAAGAUCUAUGUGCGUUUUCUCUCUGGGAAGCACCUGGAGAGUGCAGAUUUUGUGUUAUUUCUCUCUAUCUCCCUUCAGGGCUAGCACAGUGCUCAGCUCAUGCCAUUAAAUGAUUGUGGAAGUUAUGUAAAUUUAGGUUUCUGAAUUUGUUCUUCUCUCAGGUGAGCUGGGAGGAAUAUGCUUCAGCGAGAGUCCACAUGGCUUACCUCACAGGGGACAGAGGGAUCAUGGAUGAAGAUGGUUCCUUCUGGUGGACUGGUAGAGCUGAUGAUGUCCCAGAUGGUCCAAUGCAAUAAUGGCAAUACUGGGGACUCAAUGAGCAAAAUGUGCAAAUUUUCCAACUACCUGGGACAAAGGCAUUGCUGUUACUCCUUCGAAAUCUCAAGUCCACACCCUUUGGAACUCAGACUCUCACCCUUGGAGACAGUCACUGGACAUCCAUGCAUUCGACCACUGCCCCUUUUGACCCACAGGUGGGAAAAGGGGAUAUAUUUCAAUAAUGCAAACAUCUAGUUGCUUCUAUUAAAACUAACCAUGUUGUAGCAGAGCAAUCUUUUCACAGGCCACUCCCAGCGGACACUUACCUUGAUCAUCACACCUUGCAACCUGGAGAGUCUCUCCAUUGGAAAAGACACCUCCACAGAGAUUCUCUUCAACCUCCCUUGAGAGGCCCUUAUCACAUACUGCUAACCAAACCUUGUGCUGCCAAAUCCCAGGGAAUGGACUCUUGGGUCCACGGGACACAUUUAAAGAAGGCACCAAACCCUGACUGGACCUGUACACCAGCUGGUGACAAGAAGGGCUCACCCACGAGAAGCUACAACACUUGGAACUCCCAGAUGCCACCAAUGGACCUUCGGUUCUUAACAGCCUUCCAAAUUGCCCCCUUUCCUCCUGAAAACAGGGAGCCUCUCUGAUAUUCC